rnacentral:tRNA from 1 species
GCCCACGUAGCUCAGUCGGUAGAGCGCGUCCUUGGUAAGGACGAGGUCACCGGUUCGAAUCCGGUCGCGGGCUCCA